GACGAACGCUGGCGGCGUGCUUAACACAUGCAAGUCGAACGGAAAGGCCCUGCUUGCAGGGUACUCGAGUGGCGAACGGGUGAGUAACACGUGGGUGAUCUGCCCUGCACUUCGGGAUAAGCUUGGGAAACUGGGUCUAAUACCGGAUAGGAGCCAUCUUUAGUGUGGUGGUUGGAAAGUUUUUUCGGUGUAGGAUGAGCUCGCGGCCUAUCAGCUUGUUGGUGGGGUAAUGGCCUACCAAGGCGGCGACGGGUAGCCGGCCUGAGAGGGUGUCCGGCCACAUUGGGACUGAGAUACGGCCCAGACUCCUACGGGAGGCAGCAGUGGGGAAUAUUGCACAAUGGGCGCAAGCCUGAUGCAGCGACGCCGCGUGGGGGAUGAAGGCCUUCGGGUUGUAAACUCCUUUCGCUAGGGACGAAGCUUUUUUGUGACGGUACCUAGAGAAGAAGCACCGGCUAACUACGUG
rnacentral:rRNA from 1 species